UACGUAGGUGGCAAGCGUUGUCCGGAUUUACUGGGCGUAAAGGGCGUGCAGGCGGUUUGUUAAGUGCAGGGUGAAAGCUCCCGGCUCAACUGGGAGAGGUCCUUGCAUACUGGCAAACUCGAGGGAGGCAGAGGAAAGUGGAAUUCCCGGUGUAGCGGUGAAAUGCGCAGAUAUCGGGAAGAACACCCGUGGCGAAGGCGGCUCUCUGGGACGGUACUGACGCUGAGACGCGAAAGCGUGGGGAGCGAACAGG
rnacentral:rRNA from 1 species